GAUUAACGCUGGCGGCGUGCAUAACACAUGCAAGUCGAACGAUGAAGAUUAUUAGACUUCUUCGGAAUGAAAAUAAUUGGAUUAGUGGCGGACGGGUGAGUAACGCGUGAGUAACCUGCCUUACACAAGGGGAUAGCCGUUGGAAACGACGAAUAAUACCCUAUGAAACUAUCACUUCGCAUGAAGCGAUAGUCAAAGUGUUAGCGGUGUAAGAUGGACUUGCGUCUGAUUAGCUAGUUGGUGAGAAAAAAGCCCACCAAGGCAACGAUCAGUAGCCGGCUUGAGAGAGUGUACGGCCACAUUGGGACUGAGACACGGCCCAGACACCGACGGGAGGCAGCAGUGGGGAAUUAUGCACAAUGGGGGAAAGCCUGAUGCAGCGACGCCGCGUGAUUUAGAAGGCCUUCGGGUUGUAAAAAUCUUUUGUAUAGGAAGAAAAUGACAGUACUAUACGAAUAAGGUCCGGCUAAUUACGUG
rnacentral:rRNA from 1 species